UGCCGGUCCCCCCGCGACGCUAAGCUGUGAACCCCGUCAGGCCCGGAAGGGAGCAGCGGCAGCAGUGAUGCGGGCGCCGGGGUGUGGCUGGUGCAG
rnacentral:SRP_RNA from 1 species